rnacentral:rRNA from 1 species
GAUGAACGCUGGCGGCGUGCCUAAUACAUGCAAGUCGAGCGAACAGACGAGGAGCUUGCUCCUCUGACGUUAGCGGCGGACGGGUGAGUAACACGUGGAUAACCUACCUAUAAGACUGGGAUAACUUCGGGAAACCGGAGCUAAUACCGGAUAAUAUAUUGAACCGCAUGGUUCAAUAGUGAAAGACGGUUUUGCUGUCACUUAUAGAUGGAUCCGCGCCGCAUUAGCUAGUUGGUAAGGUAAAGGCUUACUAAGGCGACGAUGCGUAGCCGACCUGAGAGGGUGAUCGGCCACACUGGAACUGAGACACGAUCCAUACUCCUACGGGAGGCAGCAGUAGGGAAUCUUCCGCAAUGGGCGAAAGCCUGACGGAGCAACGCCGCGUGAGUGAUGAAGGUCUUCGGAUCGUAAAACUCUGUUAUUAGGGAAGAACAAAUGUGUAAGUAACUAUGCACGUCUUGACGGUACCUAAUCAGAAAGCCACGGCUAACUACGUG